rnacentral:rRNA from 1 species
GACGAACGCUGGCGGCGUGCUUAACACAUGCAAGUCGAACGGUAAGGCCCUGCGUUUGUGGUGUGCUCGAGUGGCGCACGGGGGUGUAAAACGUGAGUGACCUGCCCUUUGCUGUGGGGUAACUUCAGGGAACUGGGGCUAAUAUAGGAUAUAAGAUCCUGUGGCAUGGGGGGUGUUGGUGAGUUUCGGCGGUUGGGGAUGGACUCGCGGCUUAUCAGCUUGUUGGUGGGGUAGUGGCUUACCAAGGCUUUGACGGGUAGCCGGCCUGAGAGGGUGACCGGCCACAUUGGGACUGAGGUACGGCCCAGACGCCUACGGGAGGCAGCAGUGGAGAAUAUUGCGCAAUGGGCCGAAGCCUGAUACAGCGACGCCGCGUGCGGGAUGACGGCCUUCGGGUUGUAAACCGCUUUCGCCUGUGACGAAGCGUGAGUGACGGUAAUGGGUAAAGAAGCACCGGCUAACUACGUG